rnacentral:lncRNA from 1 species
UAUAUAUAUUAGUAUAUUGUACAUAGCUAUAUAUGCCAUGGCCCAUUGGUAUAUACUAAAUCAUAUAUUUAUAUAAAUCUGAUAUCCUUUAAAAAUAUCUAAUAUAAUAUCCAUUUUGAUAUAAUGAAUAUAAAUAUUACAGAAUAACUAGUGAAAAAAAAAUUGAAAUUAUAUUUUGUAGAAAAGGAAAUUAAAUGAAAAAAAUCAAUAAAAAUUAAAUUAAAUCUUCAGUUGUUAAGAGGAAGUCAAGCUCUUUGGAUCAUUUUCCUCUGAAUGGAGGGUGUGCUUCUGAAGACUUUUUCUUCAGGAUUCUCUCUUUAGAGAGGUCUCUUAAUAGACUCAAGUUCAAUAUAAUUUUAUUUCUCCUUGGCCCUUCUAUUUGGGGAUUUGGAUCUGGAGAGUGAGACACCUUCUUAAUAGUAACUCAACAACAAAGUUAUAAAAGCUACGGCGUUGUGUUUGGGGUUCACAACUCAAUACGUCCCCCGUUGUAUAAGCAAACUGUUAUUUUGCGUGUUCUCAUUCGAAGGCUUUAACUCUCUAGAAUAUGAUUCGGCUCAAGAAGUUUUCCUUUUUUUUCCCAUAAUAAACCUAAUAAGAGAAGGAAAAAUCUGUAUAGUUUCAAGUAAAACUUUUCAAUGAUGUUAGCAAAUUUAAUCAAUGACUUCAAGUGAUGAUAGGAUCUGAAGUCAUUUGUGUUUCUAAAGAAGUCUUUAUUAAUAAUUUUAUUGACAUGAAUACAAGAUCCAAACUCUAAACUUUAAAAUGAGUAAUUUUCACAUUUUAUGAUUAAUAUGCUUAAGUAUUUAUCCCUUAUCCUCUCAUGAAAAUAUGUCCUUGAAUUUCUUAGAAGGUUUUUAUAACUUCGACAGACAUGUUCGAGAAAAAAUGA